rnacentral:rRNA from 1 species
AUGCACUUUCUUCCCCGUCUUCCACUCUUCUUCCUCCUCUGUUCUUCUUCCUCCUCUCUUCUUCUUCCGACUCUCUUCCCCAUCGUCGGCCGCACACCAUUUACCCCCGCUCACUGCUCGCCCACCCGCGCCAUCUUCCUUGCACACGCAAAUGCGCUGGCCUUCAUGAUUCCAGGACCUGGAAUCAUACCAGCCAAUGGUUUGAAGCACUCCUCUGGUUUGAAGGAUAGAUACCUUCCUGGGAUCAAGUGCAUCCUAACUCACCUGCUACCAUAUAACUGGAAUUACCGAUGCAAGUCGAAGAAGGAUUGGCCGGUGCUGCCGGCUGGCGUCAAGUUCGAUCCCACGGAUCAGGAGCUGAUCGAGCACCUUGAGGCCAAAGUGAGUGCUGACAGCGCGAGAUUUCAGUCUCUCAUUGAUUUGUUCGUACCAACCAUCGACAGCGAGCACGGCAUAUGCUACACCCAACCUGAGAAACUUCCAGGUAUCACACUGAGUGGCCUAAGGAAGCAUUUCUUCCAGCGCAAUUCCAGGGCGUUCAAAAGGGGCACGUGGACGCGUCACAAGAUACAGUCGGAGUGCGGCAUGCACGCGAUGUGGCACAACACCGGCAAUACCUUGCCGGUGAUGGUCAACGGCCGGCAGACGGACAGCAAAAAAGGUUCUGGUGCUGCACACCAACAAGAACUUCGACCAGCAGAGGACCAACUGGGUGAUGCACCAGUACCACCUCGGGCAUCUGGAGCAAGAGAAGGAGCGGGAGCUGGUCCUCUGCAAGAUUUUCUACCAGACGAACACUAG